AACCUCCAGAAGCCUUACCCGUCGUAUCUAAUUAUUGUUCGGUGCAACUAAAAGUGGAAACGUAAAACUGAAGUGGGCUUGGAGUCUUUAAGAUAUUACAAGUGCAUUUCAAGCAUAA
rnacentral:snoRNA from 1 species